AAAAUUCAUGUUUUGAUGUUUAUUUUACUAGGAAAGUCAGUUAAGAACAAAUUCCUCAUUUCAAAGACAGCCUAGGAACAGUGGGUUAACUGCCUUGUUCAGGAGCAGAAAGACAGAUUUUUAACUUGUUAGCUCGGGGAUUCGAUCCAGCAACCUUCCGGUUACUGGCCCAACGCUCAAAACACGAGGCUACCUGCCGCCCCCAAUGUAAUAUGUAAUAAAAACAUUAAUUCCAUUUAUGUGAUGUCAUAGUUUCUCUUUGAUUUGAUUUUUUAAAAAUGGCCUACCUUAGUAUGGGAGUAAUUAUAGGUCAUAUUUGUUGUUUAAAAAAAAAAAACAUCCGAAAUUAUAACAUGACAUUUCUGUAAUCACUCCCCCCAAAUAAUGAUAAACAUGUUAUUAUUGGUGUGCAUUAACAAGUAAAUCUGAGUUAUGAAAAACAAACCUUAUACUGAAGAGUGCAAAUAUCAGCCAGCUUUUCCAGACUUCCAUUCAACACAUAUCCAACCAAGCUACAGUCCAGGUGUGGACUUUUCCCAGUAUUUUGUGCUUGAGGAGAAGCCUAACGUGAGCAAUGUAUUGCAGCAAAUUCUUUGACGUUCAUUCCUACAUAGAAGAAAAUAUAUUUUGAUAACUUUUGAUAUUUAAAAUAUAUUAAUUUAAUUGUUUUUGUGAAACUUGAAUUUCCAAAGUGCACAAGACCGAAAUGAGAAACUGACCGUCUUCCCAUGACCCAAAUCGUCCUCAAACGACACAAAUUAAGAAAAAAAAUUGUAUGUGAUUUUCAAUUUUUUUCUCAUAACUCAUGGGCCACUAGAUCAAGGGCCAGUAUCCACCUGGACAGAUGAAUCUGAGUCCUGGACUAAAAAAUUUUUUUCAAUGGAGAUUGGAGUUAGAUCUGGCUCCAUCUAUUCUACUCUACUGUGCUCUAUUCUAUUAUACUCUAUUCUGCUCUACUUUACUCUAUUCUACUGUACCGCAGAAUGACAGAUUUGUACCUUGUCAGCUCUGGGAUUUGAACUUGCAACCUUCCAGUUCCUAGACCAAUGCUCUAACCACUAGGCUACCCUGCAGCCUCUACACUCUAACCACUAGGCUACCCUGCAGCCUCUACACUCUAACCACUAGGCUACCCUGCCACCUCUACACUCUAACCACUAGGCUACCCUGCCGCCCCCACACUCUAACCACUAGGCUACCCUGCCGCCCCUACACUCUAACCACUAGGCUACCCUGCCGCCCCUACACUCUAACCACUAGGCUACCCUGCCACCUCUACACUCUAACCACUAGGCUACCCUGCCGCCACUACACUCUAACCACCAGGCUACCCUGCCGCCACUACAAUCUAACCACUAGGCUACCCUGCCGCCCCUACACUCUAACCACUAGGCUACCCUGCCGCCUCUACACUCUAACCACUAGGCUACCCUGCCGCCCCUACACUCUAACCACUAGGCUACCCUGCCGCCACUACACUCUAACCACUCGGCUACCCUGCCGCCUCUACACUCUAACCACUAGGCUACCCUGCCGCCACUACAUUCUAACAUUCUAACCACUAGGCUACCCUGCCGCCUCUACACUCUAACCACUAGGCUACCCUGUCGCCCUGGCUAGGUUACUUUCUAAAUGUAAUCCGUUACAGUUUCUAGUUACCAGUCAAAAAUUGCAAUCAGUA
ensembl:lncRNA